rnacentral:rRNA from 1 species
GACGAACGCUGGCGGCGUGCCUAACACAUGCAAGUCGAACGGACAGGCCCUGCUUUUGUGGGGUGCUCGAGUGGCGAACGGGUGAGUAACACGUGAGUAUCCUGCCCUUGACUUUGGGAUAACUUCAGGAAAAUGGGGCUAAUACCGGAUAGGAGCUCUUGCUGCACGGUGGGGGUUGGAAAGUUUCGGCGGUAGGGGAUCGACUCGCGGCUUAUCAGCUUGUUGGUGGGGUAGUGGCUUACCAAGGUUUCGACGGGUAGCCGGCAUGGGAGGGUGGCCAGGGACAAUAGGACUGAGGGACGGCGCAGUAGGCAACGGGAGGCAGCGGUGGGAAGUAUGGCAGAGUGAGCGGGAGCGUGAUGCGGCAGCGCUGGGAGCGGGAUGACGGCCUACGGGUGGUAAACCGCUGUCGCCUGUGACGAAGUGUGAGUGACGGUAAUGGGUAAAGAAGCACCGGCUAACUACGUG